rnacentral:sRNA from 2 species
UUUGAGCGGUAGCCUAAUUCAAAUUCAUGAAAACUGAGUUUGAAGCGGAGGAACCAUGUAUUUGGGGCAAAUCUUAAUUGAGAGACACCUUCCAGUCUUAGCCCGUCAGCUAACUCCGUCGGCAAUGGAAGGAACCU